rnacentral:lncRNA from 1 species
AAAAAAAAAAAAAAAAAAAUAGAAGAAGAAGGAAAAAGAAAGAAAAGAAAAAAAAGAAAAAAGAAGGAAAAGGAUAGAAAAAAGAAAAAUCGUAUGACCCGAUUGCUGGGGUCCUGUCCUCAGUGAUCUAGGAAGGUCUUAAAGGGCUCAGGGGCAGCUGGUUAUCUUCUGCCCUUGGUUUUCCUCCCUUUCCCUAAUGUCCUAAAAACAAACAAACAAAACAAACAAAAAAACAAAAACCGGGACACAGCUUAGCACGUUUAAUGGAAACAUUUCUCAAUCUUUUUAUUGCAGAGCAUUCCGUUUUUACUCCGAUUUUCCCAGCGUUGGCCUCGCUGUCCUAUUGUAGAUUUUCUUUGCUCUGUUCGAAUGUGAAUCAGUCUUGUUUAUUCCUCAACUACAGAGACUAGCAUGGAAAUGGGGACUGUAUCUAGCGCCUUGUACAUUCACGAGACCGAAGAGGUGAAUCCACACAUUUGGAGAGGACACUAUUAGAGAGAAUAUUGUUGGUCGCACUUCCAUCCUACCUUUUCACUCACUUCUCCUCAUGGAAAAAGAAGAGCCCAGAAGAGCCCAGCACAUCUGGGAUACAGUCUCUCCUGGGGUCCUACACAUGGCACACAUUCUUUCUCUCUUGUUCUGUAAGGAAAGUGCUGAAAGUGUUCAACUUUUUUGCCUCAAUGGAAGGAGAGUAAAAAGGUACGGAAUUAGACACUGGAGAUGCCAAUAUGAAGACAUUGUAUUUUGAAGAAGACAAGCGUAGAUUUCCAUAAUAAUAUAAUGUGCUGUAUUUGGGUGCUGUAACUGAGAGACAAUAUUCUUAGUAGCUUCAGCUCUCAAGUAAUUUGGUAGGAAUUUAAAGCCUACUCCAUAUCUCAUCAGGUUAAAUAUUUGUCCAAGACAAGUUUUUCCACCAGUUUCCUCAUUUGUUAAAUGACAUUGAUAACAAUACCUACAUUAUAAGGAGGAGUAAAUUAGGUAAUGUCUGUCUCUAGAAUAGUGAGUGACAUAAUUACACACUGAUAUUAGCUAUACCUAAUACUGCUCUUGUUGUUAUAAAAGAAUUAUUGUACUCAAAGGCCAAAGAGGAAGAAGUGACUUAUGCAAGCUAGGAAGGGAAGAGGAUCAUAAUUAAGUAGAGAAGGGAGGGAAACAAUGCAAAGAGGUACGAAAAAAAGCAGAGCAGGUCCAGAGAACAAUGACUUUUCAGAAUGUAAUUGAAGUGAAAUGAUGGGAAAUUUGGACUAUAUAUAUUUGAAGCUCCUAAGUCUUUCAGAAAAGAACAUGAUCAGAUUUGGCUGUGGGGAGCAUUGAUGGGGGGAAGGGGAAAAAGUAUGACAAGAGACCUGGAACACAGAUCUGACUCUGGGCAGAUGAGAUUACAGAGAAUUGAGACUCCAUCAAAUUGUCUGGAUGAGACCCUGAACACAAUCUGAAGCUGGAACAUUAAAGAUGCAGACUGAGGUAUACGCUUAUAAAUUAUUUUAGACAUAUACAUGAUGAGAAGGUGGGCUUUAAGGCGGACUCAUUUCUAAUUUGUGUAACUAGAGUAAAUGAGUAAAUUUACAAAUGAGUAAGUGUCUAUUAGCUAAGACAGGGGACACAAUGAUACUUAUUACAAUUUUUAAUAAGUAUAAUAACAAUUAUACUUAUUAAUAAUUUAAUAAUAAGAGCUUAUUUAGCUCUUAAUUUGUACCAGGUUCUGCUAUAAAUACUUAUAAUGUGUUAAUUUAUUUAAUUAUCUUAAUGACGUUACAAGAAACUUGUAUUAUUUCCGUUUUUUCAGAUAUGAAAGCUGUGGGACAUGGAGAAAAAGUAACUUUUCCAAGGUCACAUAGCUAGCGACCAGUACAGUGGGAUAGCAAAUGUGAGUGAAUAGUUGAAAACACUGUACCUCUGAGUUCUGUGUUCUAUAGCUUCACUAGUCAGGAGAAGAACUAGCUCUGAGGAGAUAACUGGGAAAUAAGAUGAAUAAAGCUUAGCCUUAGGAAGGAACUCAAAUAAAGACUUCACUAUUCUUUCUGCAGCAUUCCAUACAUUUACAGUGUCAACACAGCACCAUUAUAAAUUCCUCAUUUUAAUUACUAAUCAACUUGAUCAUGUCUUUCUUACAAAUGUGUAUUACUUUCAACCAAAGGCUAGUCUGGAAUGAUUUCUUAUUAAUUAAUAUAUUCUUGCUCCUUGUGGUCAGGUACCCCUUUCAUUUUGGAUGUUAAUAUUUUCUAUUAUGCUGAGCUUUAUCUCAUUAUAGAUGGAGACUUAUUUAUAGUUAUGUCUAUAAAAUUAAUUAGAUAUUUAUUUAUUAAUGUAGAUCUGGGUGAUGGAAACUAAAUAUAAUCCUAAACCUGUGUCUCAGGAAACCAGUGAGGAUCCUCUCAAAAUUCCAUAUUGGCUUAUCAUUAUAUAUUUGUGUUAACUGCCUGCUUUUAUCCAUAUUAAUAAAGUCUUAAAUAUGCUAAUGAACAACUCUGUCUCUACAAUAUUCUUUGAUCUAUAGUAUCAAGGGGCCUAUUUAUUACAUACAUCAAACUACAGAAUGUUAGUAUGUUAUUUUACUUAAUAAAUGAUCACAUGUAUUAAAAUAAACUCAAAAGCUAGGCAAUUUUAUAGGUCUGAUGGGAAUUCCACCUUUUCUGAUUAUAUAGCUUCCAAAAGUUACAAUUCAGUGAUUCCAUUUUUCCUACCAAUAAUACACAAAUCUAAGACAUCAACGAUAUGAAUACAGCCUUGAAAUUAAUAAAUGGUUUUCUCCAAUGAUGUGAGGGGAACAAAACAUACAACUAUUAUUGAUGUUAAGUUUAAUAAUUAAAAUGUUUAUUACCAAAUUGUGCUUUUAAAGUAGAACAGAUAAAAAAAUAAAAAUACAAAUUUGACUUGCCCUAAUACUAGACCAGACUGCAAAUGCAUUCAUUUAUUAAUGCUCUACUUGAAUCUGAAGACUGGCAAUCUUGCAGAGCCUGUUAGCUUUCCUUUUUCAUCCUCCACAGAAGUCAUGUCAAAUCUCCAUCCUCUCAAAUCUAUGAAAUCAGGGCCUUGCUCAUGGUCAGAAAAUAAAUUUGCCUCAUAAGUAUUAGAGAAGGGAGAAUCACAGAUAGGAACUAUUCUAUUUCCUACUUUCCUCUUAUUUCUACUCAAGUGUCUCCUCCUGAGGCCAUUCUCUGGGUUGGCAUUCCUUGACUUCUCCUCUAGGACUUGCUCCAUCAGUGUCUCCUUUCUCAUCUGCCUCCAUCUCUGGUGACCCAUUCCCAACAUUUAAACCUACUGGCAUUCCUAAAUGUAUUAGUUUCCUUGGGCUGCCUUGACAAAGUACUAUAGAGUGGCUUAAACAACAGACAUUUAUGUCUUACAGUUCUGGAAGCCAGAAGUCCUAAAUCAAGGUGUCCACAGGGCCAUGGUCCCUCUGACAUCUGUAGGAAAUCCAUUCUUUUUCCUCUUUCUUUCUUUUUUUAAAAUUGAUUUAUUUAUUCAUAAGAGACAGAAAGAGAGAGGUAGAGACAUAGGUAGAGGGAGAAGCAGGCUCCCUGCAGGAUUGCAGGAUCCCAGGAUCACAACCUGAGCUGAAGGUAGACACUCAACCACUGAGCCACCAAGGUGCCCCAGGGAAAUCCUUUCUUGCCUCUUCUCCGGCUUCUAGUGGGUUGCCGACAGCUUGGGAAUUUCUUGGCUUGCAGCUGCACACCCCCGAUAUCUGUCUUCAUUGACUCAUGAAAUUGUCCCUGUGUGUAUCUGUUUUCACGUGGCUGUCUUCUUGUAAGUACAUCAGUCAUAUUGGAGUAGAGGCUUACUCUAUUCAUUAUGACCUCAACUUAACUAAUUACAUCUGCAAUUAUCCUAUUUCUAAUGAUGGUCUAUUCUGAAGUACUAUGGGUUAGAACUUCCAGCUAACCUUUUUUGGGGGAGACACAAUGCAACCCAUAACAUCAUCUUAAUAAAGCACGAUAACUAAAUCAAACUUUAAAAGAUUCUUUAGCCAGACUUCUUGUUUCAGUUACCAUUUUUAUCUUUUUACUCCUUUAUGAUCAAACUUUUGAGGGUUUUGCCAAAAUUCUCUGCCCUUAACUGCCCUUCUAAUCCAUUCACUGUUCAUCAUGCUUAUAAAGAAAAUUGGCUUUCCUCGUAUAUGCGAGUGUGUAGGUGUACAUUUGUCCUGAUUAGGAAAAAUGUUCAUUCAAAUUGACAGUUCUAUUUCUCAGUGGCAAGUAAUAAAUCAACACUCAAUUUAUAUAUAACAACAAAGCUAUUAUGUAUUGAGUUUUUAUUGUUCCAGAUAUACUGAUAAAUAUAUUAUCCCAUUUUAUUCUCACCCUUUUAAAGAUAAAAGAUACAAGCAAAUUUGAAGCUUUUAGUUACCUUUGUUCAUGUAGGAUUACCCACUGGAAAAUCUAUUCUUCCUUGAUUUGCUAAUAAAAUUGGUUUUCAGAAAAUUAUAUUUCAAAACCCAUGUGAGAUACAGAUUUAGAGUAGUGUGGUAAAUUCACCAAAAUAAUGUUACCCUGUAAAGUUUCAUGGAAGAUAGCCAGCUGGCCUUCACUUGGGCUCGAUGGCUUUAUUUUGAAAGUCAAAAGUUUGCACAUAGUAAUAUGCAGUUUAUUCAAGUCACCUUUACAUUCACUGAUACCACGGCAACAGUCUUCUAUAUGUCCCUGCCUCUAGUCUUACCCUUUUCAAUAUAAUAUAUAUAAUAAUAAUGUAAAUAUAUAUUAUUGAGACCAUAGUAUUAAUAUAGUCCUUUAGGCUUAACGUUACAUUGAGUUAAUAAAAAAAUUGAAAACCUUGUUUUUCAAGAGCUGCAUAAUAUUAUAUGAAUAUUAUAUUUCAUUAUUUUAAAUUACUAAAUACAAACUAAUAUCCAGGUUUAAAAGGGUUCUUAGGGACACCUGGGUGGCUCAGUGGUUGGGCAUCUGCCUUUGGCUCAGGGCGUGAUCCUGGAGUCCCGAUAUUGCGUCCCACAUGGCUCCCUGGGAGGAGCCUGCUUCUCUUUCUGCCUAUGUCUGUGCUUCUCAUGAAUGAAUAAAUAAAAAUAUUUAAAAAUAGGUAAAUAAAUAAAUAAAUGGGUUCUUAAAUUGGGUCUUUUAUUAGACUAUUGAAAUUAUGUGUGAGAUUUCACAUAUGUAUAUAUUCCUCUUUUUGUGUCCAUAGAUUUCAUCAGAAAGUCUCCAGGCCUUGGAUUUCUGCAGGUAACCAAAGAGUCUAUGAUGAUAAAUCUGGGAACUACUGUUAGAGUUUUACUUUAAAUUUUUGAUUUAUGUCUUCAUUAUAAUCACUAAUUAAAACACUCAUCAAUAAAGUGUAUGAAGAUAAAAUGUGCAUGACUAAAA